ACGCAUCUGCAGUGCACGUCAGCCGCCGGGUAUAUUCCUUGAGCCUAUCGACAUACCCAGGGGGUGGAGUUGCAGCGUGGUUGUGCAGACCCGCCCACUGCCGCGGGAAGCCUGACAUGCUGCACGAAGCGCCCACUUGAACCUUUGGUUCAAGGUCGAAGGUCGGCGACGGCACAGGCGGGGCGUC
rnacentral:other from 1 species